CGACGUUUCGACUGCAACACAAGCAAUCAUCAUCAGGUGUGAAAACCACAGCAAGAGAGUCCGUCGGCUGUUCUCGCGAGCCCACUGAAGCUCACGAGCAGCGGCAAGAUUCACCAUGCUUUUUUUGGUUUUUAUUUUAGACGUGGAUUAAUGGCUGUUGUACGUCCGUAAGAUGAAAUGGGCAGAUUUGUUAUAUAAUUGAUUUUGUUAUAUUGCACUUGUUUGUCUGUGUGUGCGUUGUUGUUGUUGUGUUUCUAGAUUUGUGGGCGUUUGGUUCACAUGGCAACAAAAAUGUUGAAUGCACUGAUGAUAUGUGAAGUGUGGAUAACUUCAAAUUGAUGGAGGUGAUGGUGAAAAUAUGAUGUUGUCCUGAUUCAAAAAUGAUUUGUGGAGAUAAGGAAGCCAUUGAACAAUAAUAUUUGACGUUAAAUGCAAUAGCAUUUCAUUUGUUUGUGGACUUUAAAAGGCGACUAUCAGACAGACAACAACGUGUACAUGCAGUGCAACACUGAAUGUGUUGCUAUUGCAUUGAGUUCCUUUAUAAAUCAUCUCUUAAGUGUGGUAUAUCUCCAGUGCCCAGUCGUUUUACAUUGUGCAUGACCCUUACACAUUUCACUAUCAAGUGGCACUUUUGUUCCGUUGCAAAAAAGCAAAAAUCCGACGGCUCGGCGACUUAUUAUAGCCGCGCACUGCAACUGAACGUGGGUUUAUAAAGGGUCCGAAUGCGGCCACAUCUGAAAACGCCGCGCAAAUAGGGGUGACGCAUGAAAGGGGAGGAUGAUUGCGACGCUCAUUUGGCGUUUUUUUUAUUUUUUGUUCUCUCGUGUAUCCGGUGCUCUGCGUGUAAAGUCGCUCGCGAAAAGCGUUCGCCCAAAUAAUACAACUAUGGUGCCUCGAGGACGGGUGACUUCGAGCGAAGGAGAGCAAAUGAAGACACUCCUGAAGUGACAGAGCCUGUCAGUCACGUGGGAGGAGAUAUGCCCGUGCGAUGUACUUCUAUGCGUAUGUAUAAUUACUGAUCAGGAAGGUGUCCUGCAGCGAGGGGCGGCAAGGUGUGGCUCAGCCCGUGUCGGGUGCAGACACGGGCUGGCAUCAAUCACCCGUGACUGCAACAGAUGCCAACCAUUAGGAAUAACAGCGCAUAAGCAGCGGCACAAUGAGAUACGGGCAAUUAAUCUUUUCUUUCCCCCCCCCCCCGCCUUUUUUCAUUUAGCUGAAAACUAACACCCAUCAGUCAGCGCAAUAACCGCCUAAAUCAGAUGGGAAACAUUAACGCAAUUUAGAUCCACGCGUUUAAAACAAACCAGAAAGAAAGAAAAAAAAAGGGCUGCCGUCCGAAAGGAAGCGUUGCCAUCGGAUUCACAAACAGAAUCGGAAUUGUUUCAUUUAUCCGGGAGAAAUCCGAUGAGCUAUGAAGCUCUUUUUUUUCAACAAAGCCGAGCACGCAUCGCUCUUCCCAUUGUUCGUUCUCUUCCAGCCUCCGCAGAGGCUGCCGGGUCCUUGGGCCGCAAUCGGCGGCCGCGCUCCCGUCUACUCGCGUCGCAGAGACGAGGCUGCUUGGCGUCGCGUCCUCCGCCUUUCUCCCCGACGCCUCCCGAACGACAAACCCUUCCCGUCCACCCGGACGCCCCCCUCUCCGCUUCUCGCUGGUCGCCUCCCGAACGACAUCGCCAUCACGGCACCGCCGCUGGACGUCGUCGGAGCGCGACAACCGAUGCCGAGUCUCCCUUGAAGGCAAGAGACUGGUUUAGCCUCUUCUCGGCCAUCGCCUGGCUUUGACGAAAGGACGUGCAGAAGAUUCAAGUCGAGCUGAUUUGCUGCGCUGCCACUCCCCCGCCACCACCGCUGCCUCCACCGCCCUUCAACCCGAACUUGGCAAGCGUGGUGAAGUACGGUCAAACGUGGGGGGGUCUUCAUCCACCACGGGAUUAACAGAGAAUCCUGGCACAAUCCCGCCGACGCAUCUCCAUCGCCACCGAUGCCGGCGCAAACCGCCAAGGCGCUGCAUCCCGGCUGAUUUUCGUUCCCUGCCCCCCCCCCCAGCACGAGACGAACCUCGGACUGCAGACUGGGAGCAAGUGUGCGUGCGGCUGCGCUGGGGGGAGAAAAAAAAUGAUGCCACUACUCAACAAUAUUUUCUUUUACCAGCUCCUGACGUCUGACGCCAUCCCUAACCUCAUGCGCUGCAAACCAGAAAACUCACAACACGGAGCGGUGCGGCACAAUCGUCAAACAAGAGGAAAAAAAAGCUGCAUCACGGUACUGCAACAAAAUAGACAAGCGAGCAAUAACCCUCCUGUUCACAUCUGUCCCUGGAAGUAAAAAUAAAUACGUUAUUUUACACAUCCCAUCAGCCACAUGGCCUUUCUGGGGAGUGCGAACAGUCAGCAGCAUUGGCUCAACGCAAGCAAACCCCCCUUGGACCCCCUUUUCGACAUUCAACGUCUCUCAAUUAGCACGGUCAGCUACGUACGGUGCGAAAGACGUUCGAUGCACACACACAUGAGCAGUCAGGCUUGCUUGAGCCAACGCUGGCAAACUUGGCAGAGGUUGAUAUGCCGAGGGGGUCCUGCUCCGUUAGAUACAGGUCCCAAUUCGACGCAGGAGGCUACCGCUGGUUACGCUUUAUUGUCCGCGCGUUGUGCGUGUGCGCGCGCGCAUGAACACCGACAGUUAAAAGCGGCACAGCUCUCUUACAAAGUGAGCCCGUUAAGUUAACCGGCGAGCAGCGUGUUUACAAGGAGGUAUUCCUGCCAAGCGUCGCGUCGCGCUGCGCGUAUUGCCAUUUAGGCCACAGUGCUUUACAGCCACAUCGCAUACCCCCGUGCGUGCGUGUGUGUGUGGCGUGUGUGUGUGUGUGGCGUGUGUGUGUGUGGGGUGUGUGU